GCCCAGGAGCCCGUAGCCGAGGCCUGCUGCCAGGAUCUGGGUGGUCAUGGCCACCCAGGUGACCACGCCGCUGUACUGCAGACUUAUAAAAGAAGUAGAACACACAUGCUUCCCAUUAGGUGAGAAAGAAACAUGCCUGAGAGUCUAAUGGAUUACUCAAGUCUGUGCUGCCAAGGAAGAACAGAAUCUUUAGGUCUUCUGUGCAAAGUUGUGUCCACCCCCAAAGUCUGAAGUGGCUCCAUUCACAAACUUACAUGGAAUUUGGACUUGGCCAUCUUUCCUUUCAAGAAUAUAUGAUAAAAUCAUGCUUCCCGUUCAAGAGGUUCACUCUGGGUAUAGACGGCAUUUCUGAAAACAUGGCAUUGACUGACAUUAUUGACAGUGGACUGGGAAUGGAAAGAUCAGAGUUCUUUGCAUGGCUGAGCAUCUUACUUUUCCUUGAUCUUGGGAAGGAAGGCGCCUUCUCUGAUGGAGAUUAUCUGUCAGUGAAACUAGAUUUUUAAGUUGCAGCCCUGGGCUUAUGGUGAAUUGGCAAGCACGUGUGAGAAAGAUCAUGUUGUCUUAAGCAACUUUGAUUCCAAGAGAAGAAGAGUAAUAUGAGUACUCCAGUCCAGUCACCUGAUGAGAGAUUCCUGAAGGGAGAACUUGCAUCUUCAAAGCGUUGGAGGUAGAAGGAAGACAGGCAGAAGGACAUCCCAGAAUCAACCCAGAAUGUGGUGGAAGUGACUGCAUCAACCCUGAGCCGACACACCCAGAAGCCUUGCAGACUUCUACUUCCUGCCUUGGAAUCCUGACAAGCCACUACUUAAGCAAAUGUGAGCUACCCUUUUAGUGGUGGUUACAUGGGAUUAGAUGAGAUACAUGGGGCCCGGAUUCCUGAUUGCCCCACUUGACAGCUGAGAAACACCUGGGAGCAGGGCUGCCCAGCUAACAUCUGCUGACUGCAGAUGAAUGAACAAGCCCAGCCAGAUAGAGAAGAAACAGUCAGCUGGGCCAUAAACAAUGUUUUGUAAUAAUCGUUUAUUUAUAUGGUUUACAUUUUGUUUAACUCUCAUUUUUUAAUGGGAAUAGGACUUUUUUAUUGUGGUAAAAUGUACAUAAUGAAAAUUUACCAUUUUAACUAUUUUAGCUGUACAAUUCAGUGGCAUUCAAUGUUGUGCAAUGCUCACAACUACUUCCAACUUUUUUCAUUAUUCCAAACAGAAACUCUAUGCCAUUAAGCAAUAACUUUUGAUUCUUCCCAUCCCCAGCUCUUGGUAAUCUCGAUUCUACUUUCUGCCUAUAUGAAUUUGCCUAUUUUAGACACCCCACAUAAGUAGAAUCAUACAAUAUUUGUUCUUUUGUAUUUGACUUACUUUACUUGGCAUAUUUUCAAGGUUCAUCAUGUUGUAUUAUGUAUUAGACUUUUAUUUCUACUUAUGGCCGAAUAUCAUCCUGUGGUAGAUAGA
rnacentral:lncRNA from 1 species